CGGGUUAUCCGUUAGAUGGAAAUGUUAAAGAUAUUACAGAAAUAAAAGUUAAGUGCUGGGAGGAAAGUCCGGACACCAACAAGCGUCGUUGCUCCCCGAUUCGGCUGAAGCCGGCGAAGGGGAGGCAUCCCAACAGGAAUGGCGGGAUGACAGACAGUGCAACAGAAAACAGACUACCCCACACAUAGGCAACUAUGUGUAGGGAAAAGGUGAAAAGGUGAGGUAAGAGCUCACCGUCCACGACGGUGACGUCGGGAGCACGGUAAACCUCGCGAGGUGCAAGUUCAUGCAGAUGGUAUACACCGCUUGUUGUGACGCCAUCGGGUGGAACGCGACAGACAAAUGAUCAUCCUCGACAGAAUCCGGCUUACAGGCUUUCCUGCUGA
rnacentral:RNase_P_RNA from 1 species